UUCCUGGUGGCCCAGUGGUUAGGAUUCUGUGCUUUUACCACAGAGGUCUGGGUUCAAUCCCCAGUCUGGGAA
rfam:Sus scrofa chromosome 7.